rnacentral:rRNA from 1 species
UACAGAGGGUGCGAGCGUUAAUCGGAAUUACUGGGCGUAAAGCGUGCGUAGACGGUUAUUUAAGUCGGGUGUGAAAGCCCCGGGCUCAACCUGGGAAUUGCAUUCGAGACUGAAUAGCUAGGGUACGGUAGAGGGAAGCGGAAUUUCCGGUGUAGCGGUGAAAUGCGUAGAUAUCAGGAGGAACACCGGUGGCGAAGGCGGUUCUCUGGGCCUUACCUGACGCUGAGGAGCGAAAGCGUGGGGAGCGAACAGG